GCAUAGGUCUAGGAAAUUAAAGCCAAUUAAAUGAAUAUUGCAACUAAGGAAGCAUAAUAACACCUGUAUAGAUUACAUUUCAACUCAGGGAAAGUCUAUACUGAGGAGGAAUUUUUUUUUUUUAAAAUGACAUUUUUGAUGAGAAUAAUGAAUGUUCAUAGUAUGUGUAGUGAUGCAAGAAUACUAGCAUAUACAACAUUGAAUAUAAAUAAUAUCA
rnacentral:lncRNA from 1 species